rnacentral:rRNA from 1 species
UUGACAUGCAGAGAACUUUCCAGAGAUGGAUUGGUGCCGUUCGGGAACUCUGACACAGGUGCUGCAUGGUUGUCGUCAGCUCGUGCCGUGAGGUGUCGGGUUAAGUCCCAUAACGAGCGCAACCCCUACUGCUAGUUGCCAGCGGGUCAUGCCGGGGACUCUAGCGGAACUGCCAGCGUAAGCUGCGAGGAAGGUGGGGAUGACGUCAAAUCAGCACGGCCCUUACGUCCAGGGCUACACACGUGCUACAAUGGCCGGCACAACGGGAAGCGAAGGGGCGACCCUGAGCGGAUCCCCAUAAAAGCCGGUCCCAGUUCGGAUUGCAGUCUGCAACUCGACUGCAUGAAGUUGGAAUCGCUAGUAAUCGUGGAUCAGCCAAGCCGCGGUGAAUACGUUCCCGGGCCUU